CCAUGUGAGAUAAAAUGAUUGAGUCAGGGUUCUCCAGACAGAAUAAAGCCAAUAGAAAGAAAGUAAAAGAGAGACAAAGAGAAAGAGAGAGAGAAAGAAAGAAAGAAAGAAAGACAGAAAGAAAGAAAGAAAGGAAGGAAGAAAGAAAAAGAAAGAAAGAAGAAAAAACAAAAGAAAACAUUUAUUAUGAGAAAUUAUGAGCUAUAAGUCUCAUGAUCUGCCAUCUGCAAGCUGGAGACCCGGGACAGCCAGUUGUAUAGUUCCAGCCCAAGUUUGUUAUGGCUUGAGAACAAGGGAGUCAAUGGUUUAAA
rnacentral:lncRNA from 10 species